UACAGAGGGUGCAAGCGUUGUUCGGAAUUAUUGGGCGUAAAGCGCGUGUAGGCGGCUUUGCAAGUCGGGUGUGAAAGCCCUCGGCUCAACCGAGGAAGUGCGCCCGAAACUGCAGAGCUUGAGUACCGGAGAGGAUGGCGGAAUUCCCCAAGUAGAGGUGAAAUUCGUAGAUAUCUGGAGGAACACCGGUGGCGAAGGCGGCGUCCUGGACCAACACUGACACUGAUGAGCGAAAGCCAGGGGAGCAAACGGG
rnacentral:rRNA from 1 species